GUGAAUAUUGGACAAUGGGGGAAACCCUUAUCCAGCGACGCCGCGUGAGGGAAGAAGGUUUUCGGAUUGUAAACUUCUGUCAGUGGGGACGAUAAUGACGGUACCGAAUGAAUAAGCCACGGCUAACUACGUGCCAGCAGCCGCGGUAAUACGUAGGUGGCAAGCGUAAUCCGGAUUUACUGGGUGUAAAGGGCGUGUAGGCGGGAGAGCAAGUCAGACGUGAAAUUCCAGGGCUCAACCCUGGAACUGCGUUUGAAACUGUUCUUCUUGAGUGAUGGAGAGGCAGGCGGAAUUCCGUGUGUAGCGGUGAAAUGCGUAGAUAUACGGAGGAACACCAGUGGCGAAGGCGGCCUGCUGGACAUUAACUGACGCUGAGGCGCGAAAGCGUGGGGAGCAAACAGG
rnacentral:rRNA from 1 species